GUGGAAGGAAGGGCAGACGAAGCUUAUCGCCUGCAGAACAAGGAUUGUGCCGUUAAAUAUUUAGUUGAAUAAUAAUCCAUUUUGAUGGAUUAAUGGGUGACUCGUUGAUUAUGGCUGUGACUCCGAAAAUGCUGCGCUGCAAGAGGCGCUGUCAGGUGAAGAAUGAAGAAACACGUUAUUUGCCUGGGCCUGGCAUAUCGAAUGUAGUGAAAGCACUCGCGUGAGCCAGCCUUCGGUUCACCUAGAUGAAGAAGACGUGAAACGCCUGAACACUUUAUCAGUCGCCACAUAGACCCGGACGUACUUGAUUCCCAUGUGGCGCUUCUAUACCUGUGACGUGCGCACGAAAUUCUCUGCAACCGGUUCCCUGCAAGGAACACAGGCCCGUAUUCACAACGACAUCUGAUGCCUAGAGAUGUUUGUCAGAUAAAAUUUCAGCCAAUCCGGACGAUGGACAUAUUAUUAAAUAGUUAAGGAGAAAUUCCAAAAAAAAGUUCUUACGGAAGAGAAGCUUUGUGAAUUCGUCCCCUGCUGUAUAUGCGGAAGAAAAGGACAUGUCUAUAAGCCAUUUUAGGUAAGCUGAAAAUUCAAGAGCUCCAACCGUGCUGCCACAAGCGGCUAUCUGUCGCAAGGAAGAAUGGAAGAUGGUCAGAAGAAAGAUGCUACUGCUGUUGGCAAACCCAGGAUCGUCAAGGUAGAUCUCUACGAAGAACCCCACGAAGCUACGGGCGAAGGCUUCUGCAAGGCUCCGCGACUGAGCUUCGUAGAGUGCAGCUGUCCGGAUGCAAGCGUACUCGGGAGGCAGAAGAAAGGCGGUGAGGCGGCAG
rnacentral:lncRNA from 1 species